rnacentral:rRNA from 1 species
UACGUAGGGUGCGAGCGUUGUCCGGAAUUAUUGGGCGUAAAGAGCUUGUAGGUGGCUCGUUGCGUCGGGAGUGAAAACCUGCGGCUUAACCGCAGGCCUGCUUCCGAUACGGGCGAGCUAGAGUUCGGCAGGGGAGACUGGAAUUCCUGGUGUAGCGGUGGAAUGCGCAGAUAUCAGGAGGAACACCGGUGGCGAAGGCGGGUCUCUGGGACGUUACUGACACUGAGGCGCGAAAGCGUGGGGAGCGAACAGG